UUGGCCUAAGGACUAAUACAUGCACAUUUGAAGGCCCACCCUCGCACGGUGGUCCUGGUGGAUGGCUCCGUACUAAAAUACUCAACUACCCGACUGUGAGACGUCUGAGCGGAAUACCUUUUGUAACCAACAGCUAAUACGGGAACAACUGUCCUGGGCCUCCCGCUCGCAAGGGUGGGGGGCCCGGGGCUGCUCGCGUUGGCCAGCCAUAAGCCAGCCCUCCGCAAGGAGGUCCGGGGUGAGUCACAACGCCUAGCGUGGCGCUCCGCUCUUUCGGGAGAGGGGCGCCGAGUCGGCCGUGGUUUUUGCUUAUUAGGUUUCGACGGUAGUGUAUUGGACUACCCUGCCGAUCAUGAGUAACGGGGGUUUUGGGACUGACUCCGGAGAAAAAGCCUGAGAGACGGCUUUUAGACCUAUGGGUUGCAGCAGUUGCGAAAAUUGCCCAAUGCUCCAAGAGCGAGGCAGCGACAGGCCGUAUCAAAGCGCGGCUCUUUCGAGCCGUGCUGUUGGAAUGGGCCCAGCCCAAACCCCUGAGCGAGGAUCCAGUCGAGGGCAAGUCUGGUGCCAGCAGCCGCGGUAAUUCCAGCUCGAUGAAGGAACACGAUCUUUGUUGCAGUUAAAAAGCUCGUAGUUGGAACUCUGCGCCCGUGCGGCUCGCGGGGUCGGUUGUGGUUUCGGCCGCGGCCGGCUCCCGCGAGGCGGGCGCAUGCUCGCCGGGCCCGGGGUGCGUGCGCAAGCGCGUGCGUCGGCGCCCGGCGUACGUUACUGUGAACAAAACGGAGCGUUCAUAGCGGGCGGAUCUUUCGCCUGGACGACUCGCACGGAAUAACCCAGCGGGGCUCGGGGCCCGUUGGGCUGGUUUGGGGCCAUGAGCCUAGGUUAACAGGAACAGAUGGGGGUAUUCGUACUGUCGUGCUAGAGGUGAAAUUCUUGGAUUACGACAUGACGAACGACUGCGAAAGCAUUUACCAAGGAUGUUUUCAUUAAUCAAGAACGAAAGUUUGGGGAUCGAAGAUGAUUAGAUACCAUCGUAGUCCAAACCGUAAACGAUGCCGACUCGGGAUUCCGGCGCGCUGUCGCGGCCGCCGGGGCACCGUAUGAGAAAUCAAAGUCUUAGGGUUCCGGGGGGAGUAUGGUCGCAAGGCUGAAACUUAAAGAGAUUGACGGAAGGGCACACCAGGAGUG
rnacentral:rRNA from 1 species